rnacentral:rRNA from 1 species
UUUAGAUGGCGACCGGCGCACGGGUGAGUAACACGUAUCUAACCUGCCGAUGACUCGGGGAUAGCCUUUCGAAAGAAAGAUUAAUACCCGAUGGCAUAGUUCUUCCGCAUGGUAGAACUAUUAAAGAAUUUCGGUCAUCGAUGGGGAUGCGUUCCAUUAGGUUGUUGGCGGGGUAACGGCCCACCAAGCCUUCGAUGGAUAGGGGUUCUGAGAGGAAGGUCCCCCACAUUGGAACUGAGACACGGUCCAAACUCCUACGGGAGGCAGCAUG